GCUUAAGGUCAUGUGUCAAGUCAGCGUUGGCGGCUUUCCUCAAAGUUGUUUGUGUUUUUUAACUAAGGAAGGGUUUUCUUUCUGCAGGAUGAGACAAAAACAAGGAGGGUCUCUGGCAGCAUCUGUUCAUUCAGGAAUAAGAAGCAACUCGGAAAAUAUAUCUGCAUGGAGGCUGACGAGGUGCAGGAAUGUGAAGAAGCAGUCAUGAUUCAUUCCAGAGCGUGCAUUGAUUACACGCCAAAUGAACAUACGUUGCAUGCUAAUUUCCUUCCCGGGUCCUCGAGAGCAAACACCACUGUGAGAGUACGCAGUGUAAACACCUCCAUAGCAAUAACACGUCGGUGCUGAGCCACCUGAGGUCC
ensembl:lncRNA